ACGCUCGACACCUACGGGGGGCAGCAGUCGGGAAUAUUGCGCAAUGGAGGAAACUCUGACGCAGUGACGCCGCGUGCAGGAAGAAGGUUUUCGGAUUGUAAACUGCUUUAGACAGGGAAGAAAGAAAUGACAGUACCUGUAGAAUAAGCUCCGGCUAACUACGUGCUAGCAGCCGCGGUAAUCUGAGCGGGCUGGCAAGGC
rnacentral:rRNA from 1 species